rnacentral:rRNA from 1 species
GACGAACGCUGGCGGCGUGCUUAACACAUGCAAGUCGAACGCUGAAGCCCAGCUUUUGUUGGGUGGAUGAAUGGCGAACGGGUGAGUAACACGUGAGUAACCUGCCCCCUUCUUUGGGAUAACGCCCGGAAACGGGUGCUAAUACUGGAUAUUCACUGGUCUUCGCAUGGGGGUUGGUGGAAAGGGUUUUUCUGGUGGGGGAUGGGCUCGCGGCUUAUCAGCUUGUUGGUGGGGUGAUGGCCUACCACGGCUUUGACGGGUAGCCGGCCUGCGAGGGUGACCGGUCACGUUGGGACUGAGAUACGGCCCAGACUCCUACGGGAGGCAGCAGUGGGGAAAAUUGCGCAAUAGGCGCAAGCCUGGUGCAGCGACGCAGGGUGAGGGAUGGAGGCCUGCGGGUUGUGAACCGCUUUCGCUCAUGGUCAAGCCGCAACAAUGGUUGUGGUGAGGGUAGUGAGUAAAGAAGCGCCGGCUAACUACGUG